rnacentral:pre_miRNA from 1 species
CUUGUACUCCCUCAGUCCGGAAAUACUUGUCAUUGAAAUGGAUGUAUCUAGAUGUAUUUUAGUUCUAGACACAUCCAUUUUGAUGACAAGUAAUUCCGGACGGAGGGAGUACUUG